ensembl:ncRNA F54F2.10 ncRNA
GUCUUCUUCUACACUUGCUCUCUCUCUCUCUACACAAUCUGCUAAUUGUCAUUCUUUUCAAAACGAACAUUCCUAGGGACCGCCCAUCUCUGGGUCCUUAACCCAAUUUAAGGGUGUCUCUGUGUAUAAGAUUUCUUGU